rnacentral:lncRNA from 1 species
CAUGUAUUCCGGCCGCCCGAGAGGCCCCUCCCGCCCCGCUGAGGGUUCCAAGGCAAUCCCGGCCCCCUAGCGGCACCGCUGGGGCCUCCUGUCGUCUCCCAGCACCAUGGCACGCCCAGACCUCGCGCCUUCAUGUCCCUAGCGUCCCACUCCCCAUACCCUCCAUGUCCCACCUGUCCCCGGUCCCCACGGGCGGGGAGGCGGGGGCGGACUGCAGGACCCGUUCCGAGCCUCCAGGGGGCGCCCAGGCCCCGCCGCCGCACAUCAUCUUGUGUGUUCUCUACCUCUCACCAUCUCCUCUUUUUAUUUUUAUUUUUUAUUAUUAUUACUAUCACUGAUUAUUUUACUGCAUUUCAAUUAUUAAACUGUUUUUAUCUCAGCCCACAAGUUCUACUUUCUUUGCCUUCCUGAGUAUGCUCCUUACUCCAUGAGGGGCAAAGUAAGUGAACAGCUUCAUGGUGAUUAGUUGCCAGCUGACAGUCCUUUUUAAUGAUUAAUGUGGGGCAUGAAGGGUUUGAGAUAAUUCCCAAGUGCCAGCUCCUGACUCCUCCGAGGGAACUCCAGGAAGUGUUUGUCCCAUGUUCAGGGCAGGUCCACACCAGCCCUGAACCUGAUACCCUCAGGCACUUCCAGGAGCACUGGGAUUUGCUCUGGACACAGGUGAAAGCCCAGGUAGUCUCUGCAGAGUUUUCUAGAGCAGAUCUGCAGAGAACCCUAUGUAUGCUAGACUGAAUCUGGUGUCUCUGCUUGACCCGUCACCAGCAGGAAUAUCUGGGGAAUGCUUGGGCCCCCCGUGGAGAUGGCAGAAUGUUGCUGGUAGAAGACCCCAUGAGGUCACAAAGCGCCCUGUGGAGCUGCAAAGCCAGGCCCUGCUGUGCAGGGUAGCUUGGGUGUCACGAGCUUGAGCAGCAGUGGCAGGAGAAGCAGCAGCAGCUGCAUCAUGGUACAGGCAGGGUGGGCCCUGACUCUGAUCCUCCUCCUGGUGGCCCUGCCAGCCCAGGAUGUUGGGGCUGCUCCGUGGCGAGCACAGGCAGUGGCACUGGAGCGUGAGACUGCGCAGGAGAAAGCACCUCAGGAAGGCCAUCAGACAGUGCCAGUUCCUGGGGAAAACACCAGGGCCUUUCACACCACAGGUGUGUUGGGUAAUCAUUGUCCUUUGGCCAUUCAGCGGCAUCUGCCGAGAUCCCCAGUGUCUGCAGGCUCUGCCCUGGUGCCAAACUGUGCCAGUGCAGGGCCAGAAUGCAUUGAUAACAGCCAGGAGUGGCUCUGGGGUGAUUGUCACCUCUGGGGUGCAGGUCGUUGCUCUUGCUGUCUCAGGGACACACAGUCGGACACUGUGGGUGCAGCAAGAUGCUUACCACCUCUCACACUCCAUUCUCAGGGAUUUCAGAACUUCGCUCUUUUGAGAAUGAGGCCACCUGGAGACAUCCCUCAGCAAAUGAUGGGAAAUGUGGCACUGGAUCUUACAUCCCUCCCCCAGCACUUGCAUCCUCUCACUUGCUGUGAGACCCUAGAGGCCCUAACAGAGGGAGAUCCCUCCUUGGAACUGGGGUCCAAAGGGGUGCACUCUCAGAUUGGCAUGGCUUAGGGGACCCUACAUCAUCCUCCUGAAAACUCUGUGCCUGAGCCAUGCUGAGGCUUUACUUUUCCCUGAUCCUCGACAGUGCUGGCCAACCCUGGGGAAGGUCCCCAUGCCAGGAAUAUAGGAAUGCUUUCAAAAUUAUCCAGGCACUGGGCAGUCCUGCCACAGGAUGUAAGUGGGAAACAAGUCCUGAAAACUGGGGGCAGGCAAAUGCUGCCCCAUACUGCAGAAAAGACAAUAAGAGAGAGGAAGGUUCAGGUAUCUCCCUGAUACCUAAAGGGCCUGACUGCAUCCCCUUGGGGUGUGGGUGCUGGGGGGAAAAUGCAACUUUAUUCUUUCUAUUAAGGUCCAAAGUAUCAAGAUGGAAGGGGACAAUCUUCCAUAGAGACAUCCAAAGUGCUACACGAAAUCCUGAGGGAGCUGAAGAUGAUACUAGGAGGUGGGUACAGGUCACUCCUAACCAGCACAAUUGGGCAGCAGAGGUUUCAGGUGCAUAUAGGGGCAUGCCAUAGCCCCCCCUGCGCACACCUCAGACCCUCACUGCAGGGACCCUCCUUGUCAUGCCCUGCAGGUAUCGGUGAGCUGCAAGGGUGGUCCAGAAUGUCUACUGCCACUUGUGUCUCCAGAUGACAGGGACACAGAGUGUUUGCCCCAGACAGAUCAUCCCUGGCCAGAGCACAAGAGAAACUGUGGGUGCAUGUGAAGAAUCCCCAGCAACAGGGAGCAAAGGGAGACACUGGAAAAACUAGAUUGUGGCCACUCCAAAGCGUAAGCAAAGCUGAGAGGAGAGAAGGUCCAGAGAGCAGGGACUUGCUAGGCCUUUGGGAAUUCCCUUGGUUUCUAUUGAAGCCAUGGAAAUGUUGCCACCACAGGAUGUUUCCUCAUUCAGAGAUGCUAGUGAAGUGGGAAAGAACAUUUAUUGGCAAUGUCAGCCUUCUGGUAAGAUUGCCGGAGGUGUGCAGGACACACUAACGUGCACAAUUGGUCCUCCAGGUGUGAACAGCCUGAGCCUCAACAGCGCUGUCAGCAGGAGAUCCGCCAGUGCUGGAAACAGCAGGGCAGACCCAAACGCUGUGGAUAAUGGAGAAGACCCAAACGCUGUGGUGGGCAGAGCAGACACAAAUGCUGCGGAUGCAAAUUCUUUCCAGAACUACUGCAUCGAAGGCAUCGUGGCAGUCCUUGGCUCGAUGCUGCUGGGAAUGGUGCUGUGUUGUGUGCUCCAUCUGUGGAGGAAGAGGAGAAAGUGAGUUGGUGGGGCAGAGGGGUGCUGCCAAACUGGUAUUGCAUGGCAUGAGGCGUUUUGAGCUCUGGUGCUCUGGGUGCCCAGUAAGUCACUGUGGAGGUUGGUGCUGUGAGCUGGCGCUCCAUGCUCUGCCUAGAGUUCUCUGUGCCCACAGCUCCCCUGUGCAGCAGAUGCCCACAGCUCAUGGGUGCCCAGUGCUGCUCUGCACCCUCACACUCACCCUGUGCCCUGGCCGGACCUCAGCAGCUUCCUCUCUCCAUAGGCGCCUCGCAGCUUCCUGAGCCAGUUCAGAGCACCCGGACAGCUGGACAGAAGCCAACAGAAUAUUUGGAAUAGUAUAAAUAAAGAGCAGCAGCACAAUCA